rnacentral:lncRNA from 1 species
GGUUGGGGGGGCGUACCGGACAGUCGGCAACUGUGCAUGGCCCUCCGGGGCCGGCCUUUUGCCCAGCAAUGGACCUGACGAUACUGAAAGCGUGUUUGGGGCUGGUAUCCUGGGACCUUCACGUGGUGGCCCUGUUUAAACCAAUCUUACCAGGAUGUGCUUCCAGAAGGGUUACAUCUAAAAACAAGGUACAAGCUACCACGGAUGAGAAGCUUACUGAAGAGAAGAGGGAAAGUAGCGAUGAACCAACGACUUCAGGGGAAUCCGAUCAUCCAAUCCAAGUUUAACCCUCCCCCUCCCCACUGGAGAUGAGAGGCUGUAGAGGAAUUUGUUGUGUUGACAAUGAAUCAUUCUAAUCAAAGUCAGUAUGGGCUCUGAGAAACACGCAGGAGACAAGAUCUGCCGCAGUCAUUGUUAGCAAGAACUACCAGUUUAAUAAGGUGGACCACACAGACAGUACGAUAGCCUUGCAGAGGAGAGCGUUUCUCAUGAGUGGAUUUACAACUGACUGACCAAUCAACCUUCAUUGGAACUUUUUGAAGUAGUGGUGGUGGGAAAGCUAGGUUUUCAGGGAGGUUGCUGACAGCCAGGUGAUGACCAGCAUCUUUCACCAGUAGUCUCCUGGUCUUCCACUGCAUCUCAAAUUUCUUGCCACCACAGACGGAUGUUUCAGUGAAGUAGUUUUGCUCCAACCUCUCUGCCAUCUGCCAUGCGAUGGGCGCUAGAGCACAUCCCGUUGAGGAAGUCGGUAGCUAGGGGUGGAGGAGCACAGUUCAAGUUAACAACGCUGAUGUUUGAUGGUAGCUACUAGAGAUCCUGGAUGCUGACUCUGCCUUGGUUUUCACAAUGCCUGGACCUCAAAGUGCUGAAAUGCCCUGAAACUGCACAUCAAACAUCAGUCUUUGAUUAGACAGGACCUGAGUAACCUGAGUAAGUCCUCAGACGCCUGUUAUCAGAACCACAAGAAGAGGAAUGCAUGUGUUUCAGGUUUUCCUGCUCUUACCAAGAAGACGUUGCUCUUGAUGCUGGAAUGCCCUGAAACUGCCCCACUUUGUGAUGACAUCAAACAUCAGAGAAACUACAUCCAAGGUGCCUUGGGCCUAUUUAGAAUGUACUAGGCUGUUAAAUGAGAAAAAAAGGUUAUAUGGGCAAUUCCAUGCUGGUGGAGACACAAGACCAAACAAUUAUUUUACGGUUUGCUCAA